GAGAACACCCUGCAAUGUUUGUUUCUCAACCAUUGGCAUCUUAGAUAUCUGGUGUAGUUGAUUCAUACUACUACUGGUUGGUCCGUGAUAUAUAUGCAAUCUUGUUUGUUGAAAUUGAUCCAGAAAACUUCAAACAAUCAUAGAAAAGAAGCAUCCAUGAGAAGGACCAAAAAGCAUAGCCAUUGAAAAGCUAAAAAGAUGAACUCUACACAAGACCAGGACAUGGUAACGAAAAACCCAAAUAUCAAACACCCCAAAAAAAAAAAUUGUAAUCGUUACAAUUAAACUAGUCCAUGGUCAAAAUCCAAAACUUUGAUGCCUAGAAUAAAAUUACUAGAACAACUACUUGUUGAACAGAAUGUUGAUGACAGUUCUAAAUACCUGACCCCUCUUGUCCAGAACCUCCCGGACAGCCUUCUCAUCAGGCACAAAUCCCUUCUGCUUCAUCUGCUGCAGAAACUCUCUGGCCUGGUCCUCCUUCUGCUCCUUUGCAUAUGCCUCAAACACUGCAGCGUAUGUAGCAGCAUUGGGACGCAUUCCCUUGCUCAUCAUUUCCAAGAUAUAUUUAUUGGCAUCCGCUAGUUUCCCAUCAGCAGCAAGUGCCUUAAUGAGGAGGGUGUAAGUAUAUGCAUUAGGAGCAACUCCGCAGGCCAGCAUGCGCAGGAAGACCUUGAGAGCCUCCUUGGACUGACCGGCAUUGGCAUAAGCCUCAACGACGGCAGUGUGGGCCACCACGUCAGGCAUAUGUCCCUUGUCCUUGAUCUGAGAGAAAAGCUCCAAGGCCUCAUGUGUUAGGCCAUCUUUGGACAAAGCGUCGAACAUCUUCACGGCAUUAUUGAUGAGGCCCUCGGACCGCAUCUUAUGGAAGAUGAAUUGAAGGUCUUUGGGGUCAUCGGGCUCCUCGAUGACGGGCUUCUUAUUAAAGGGAUCGUAAGGCGGAGGAAGUUUGCUCUUUUCAAUUUCUUUCUUAGCUUCAACACUGGACUUGUUCUCAUCAUCGUCAGAAUCCGAAUCAGAAUCGGAGAGAGAAAAGUUUACUUUGGUGUUUAUCGCUUUCUUCCUAAUCUUCUCCUUGUCGUCGGUGGCCUCGGAGCAGAAUAAUCUUUGAAAGGACUCUGGCUGUUGCUGUUGCAUAUAUCUAACUCCAAGUAACACCGGAGGUCGUUGUGGCAGUGGCUGUGGCUGCGAGGCAUUGGAAUGAACAAGCCGCAAGAGCCACGACACAGAGAGACGACUUUGGGUUGCUCCAGCGGCUGCGGUGGUGGUAGCAGUAGUAAUAGCAGUAGCAGUAACAGUAGUAAAUGGAGGUUUCCAGAGAAGUGGGCGGUUGAAGGAGUAGGGUCUGAGUUUCGUUCCUUGCGCCGUAGCCAUAAUAAAUGCUCAAAUCAAAGGGUGCGUAGCUUAUUCCCUGAGUUGUAAGGUCACCAGCUCUGCAACCCAACCAAACUUUAAUGGAAGCAAUUUGGAAGGGAAAUUGGCAGAGAAAAACGACUCCCCAUCUAAAUGGAAUUGAUGAUUUUGAGUUGGCAUUUCCCUCCCAAUCGAUCAACUUCCUUGGCCCAGUUUAGCAAUGGAACCCAGGCUGGUUUGAGGGCCACAUUUUGUUAAGAACACAGAUGAUUC
rnacentral:misc_RNA from 1 species